UGAACUGGGUGANUAGGGUGUGUCAGAGGGAGGUAGAAUNCCACGUGUAGCAGUGAAAUGCGUAGAGAUGUGGAGGAAUACCGAUGGCGAAGGCAGCCUCNUGGGAUAACACUGACGUUCAUGCCCGAAAGCGUGGGUAGCAAACAGGAUUAGAUACCCUGGUAGUNCACGCCCUAAACGAUGUCGAUUAGCUGUUGGGCAGCAUGACUGCUUAGUAGCGAAGCUAACGCGUGAAAUCGACCGCCUGGGGAGUACGGUCGCAAGAUUAAAACUCAAAGGAAUUGACGGGGACCCGCACAAGCGGUGGAUGAUGUGGAUUAAUUCGAUGCAACGCGAAGAACCUUACCUGGUCUUGACAUGUACGGAACCCUCCAGAGACGGAGGGGUGCCUUCGGGAGCCGUAACACAGGUGCUGCAUGGCUGUCGUCAGCUCGUGUCGUGAGAUGUUGGGUUAAGUCCCGCAACGAGCGCAACCCUUGUCAUUAGUUGCCAUCAUUAAGUUGGGCACUCUAAUGAGACUGCCGGUGACAAGCCGGAGGAAGGUGGGGAUGACGUCAAGUCCUCAUGGCCCUUAUGACCAGGGCUUCACACGUCAUACAAUGGUCGGUACAGA
rnacentral:rRNA from 1 species